GGAAGUGACUGUAGGUUUAGAUGAAUGGAAAAUGAACUUGCCAGUUCACAGCUAUGUCCUUCCCAAUUUAGGAGGUUAAGGGCAGGAAAAACAUGAGAAACUCUUUUGAGAAGCUGCACAAGCUGACAUGGAGGAUCAAGGAUUUCAAAAGCUUUGAAUAUAAAGAGGUGUCAGACUUACAUCAGAGCCUGAGACUUGACAUGCCUAUUUUUGCACUCGCUCAUUUUUCAAAUUUCAUAGGCAUUGCUCCCUCCAAAUCACCGCUCUUCUAAUUUUAUCCUGGAGUGUGCAUCCCAGAAGACAUAAGCUGACACAAUUGGGAACUGAAGUUGCUUGAAAAAGCUGGUGGUAAGAUUAGGGAUCAGCAUCAUAUAUCACUAUUUCUCAAAGAUUAUCUGGUCUCUUGAUGGCAAAUCUACAAUAUUGAAACCUUUGAAAGAGAAAUUGUGUUUUGUGAGUUACAUGACUACCGUUUGCAUCCAAGGUCUCCUCUGUAGUCAAGAGAAGAAUGCAG
rnacentral:lncRNA from 10 species